rnacentral:lncRNA from 1 species
UUUUCUUGACCAGUCUAGCUAGGAGUAUUUCGCUUUGCUUUCAUUGAUUUUUACAGAAAAUAUAAAAACAGUUCUAUAGAAAAAUAAUUUUUCAUAACAAAUGUUUGGAGAAUAAUAAUGGUAAAUACACUGUAUUGUGAUCUUAAAAGUGUAUUUUUGAUUGCUUAUCUAUCUCUCAACUUAUUUCCUAAUAAUACUAUUCUGUGCGUUGUCUUUUUACUCUGUUGGUGAUUUCUUUUGCUGUGCAAAAGCUUUUUAAUAAGAUGAGAUCCCACUUGUUGAUUCUUGGUUUCACUGAUUUUAUCUUUUAUUUGUCCCUGUAUGUUUCACCAUACUGGUACAGUUUCUUUUCUCCUCUUUUUAGCUUAAUACAAUAUAUUCUCUUUUUUGCUAGCUUCAGAAAGUGGAAAUUCAGAACACUAAUGUUAAGCUUUUGUUUUUAACAUAAGCUCUUAAAAGCUGUAAAUUUUCAAGUAUCUUUAGCUUUACAUCACAUAUUGUUACUCUUUAUUUUGUUAUUUUAAAAUUUUCUUUAUUAUUUCAUUAUUUAGAAAUGUGUACAUCUCUAAGUAGUUGGAAAUUUUCCCAGUGUCUUUUUUUGUAUUGACUUUCAGUUUUAUUCUUUUACGGUUAGAGAACAUUUUCUAUAUGGUUUCAGUUCUUAAAUAUUCAUGGUUUAUUGUAUCUCCUGUCUUGCUGACUGGACCAAGAGACUUACACACUUACAUGUUUGUUCUUAUGUGGUUGAUUGUAGUGUGCAGUUAAGCCAAAUUGACUUACAGUGUUGUUCAGCGCUUAUAUAUUUUUACUGAUAUUUUUCGGUCUACUCAUUUUACUAGUUAUUGUCAAGGAAUGUUGAAAUCGCAAGCUAUACUUUUUCUCCUAGUUCUGUAUUUACUUCAUGUAUUACUGGCUGCAUAAACAUUUAGAAUUUUUAUGUUUUUAGUUAAUUGACACUGGAAGGAAGCAUUAUGAAAUGUUCUUUUACUCCAGGUAAUAUCCUUCCAAAAUCUAGUUUGAUAUUAAAAAGAUAUGUCCAGUCUCUUGAAAUUAAUGUUUGUAGAUAUAUAUCCAUUCCUGUUUUCUAGUUAACCUAUCUAUAUUGCAGUUGAAGUGAGUAUCUUGUAGAUAGUCCUAUUUUGUGUUUUCUUCAUUUUCAUUAUUUAAAAACUGCAUGUUUUCCUUUCUUUAAAAAAAUUAUUUCAGUAGUUUCUAUAGGGUUUUAUAGCAUGUCUUGAAUUUAUUGCAAUAUACACUUCCUCACCAAUGCCCCUUGGUAGCAACAUCUUACAUGGAUGUGUCAUAUUGGUUACAUGUGAUGAGCCAAUAUUGAUACAUUACUACUAGGUCCAUAGUUUACAUUAGUGCUCACUCUGUAUUUUACAGUUCUGCUAUUUUUCUUCUUCCUCCAGAACUUUCUUCAGUGUUGCGUGUAGUUCAGGCCUGUGGGUGAUAGGUUAUCUCUGAUUUGGGGUCUGAAAUAACAUUCCCCUUUAUCUUUGGAGGAUAUUUCUGCCUUAUGUAGAUUUUUAACUUACAUUUUUUUCCCUCUUUCUAGCACUUUAUCUGUUUUAAUCUUGUGUGCAUUUUUUGUUUGUUUGUUUGUUUGUUUUUGGUACUGGGGAUCGAACUCUCGUCCUUGUGCUUGCGCAGCAGACAGCGAAACCAGUGAGCUAAAUCCCCGGCUCUUGUUUGCAUUGUUUUUGACAGAAAGUAUGUGAUGAUUCUUAACUCUGUUUCAUAUGUUCUAUCACCCUUUGGGUGCUUUGCAAUUGUUCUGUUACUGGAUUUCAACAGAUUGAUCAUUACAGGCCUUGAUGUAGUUUCUUUGUGCUUAAACUGCUUUUUAUGUUUAUUUUGUUUCUGGAAUAUGUGAAUUCAGUUUUCCUCAGAUUUGGAAUUCUUUGGUUAUUGUUCCCUAAGGUUUAUUUUCUUUCUCCCUUUCCUUCUGGGACCACAGUUACUUUUUGUUUAGACUUCCCUUGGUAUUUUUAUAGUUGUUUGAUGCUCUGUUUUUUGGCCUUUUUUUUUUGGUUUCUAUUUUUACAUCUUCAAUUUAGUGGUAUAUUUUUAGUGGUACAUUUUUCAUGUUUUUUAAAAGAUCUGUUCAAUAUAUCCAGUUAACUUUCUGAGAUGUUUCAUUUUUCAUCUUUAGAAAAUUCGUUUAAUUAUUUUCAAAAUAAUUUUGUCUGUUUCUUUCUAUUUUUUUCUUUAAAUCUUUUAAUAUGCUUAUAAUAUGUUAAGGUUUAUCUUUAGAAGCAUCAAUCUCUUGUUUCUGGGUCUCUUUUAUCACAUUUCCCUCCAGGUUUACACAUUUCUUCACUUUCUUGUGUUUAGUAAAUUUUGAUUGACUUCUGGGCUUUCAUCACAAAGUUGUCUGGAUUUUGUUGAUUUCCCCUCAAGAGAUUUUGAUUUUAUUUUGGUAGACUUUGUUUGGCAGAUUGUUGCCAGAUUUCUUGCAGAUUUGUUUGAACUGUUUGGUGCUGGCUUUUAAAUGAUGUAGCAGGUGUACUGUAGCCAUUACCAUACACUGGUAAGUUCUUCUGUUAAAGAGUGAUUCUGCUUCAUUUUCUACUGAUUGCCCCAGGUGUGAGAGAUCUGUCUAUUCUUUGGUUGGAACUUGAACAUCUCCCAGUGUUAAUACAAUCUCUGGGAAUAUUUGAGCCCACUGCUCUGUGGUUAUUCUCUCCCCAGUGUUGUAAAGUUUCAUUUUAUUCAUGCACAGCUCCCUAUUCAGUGAAAAACUGCAGAGUUGUGUUGUCAAGUAUGACAGCCAGUAGCCACAUGUGCAUGAAUUAGAAUAGUCCUGGCCAGGCAUUUAGUGGUUCUGGUGCCUGCCUCGCAAGCGCAAGGUCCCAAAUUCGAUCCCUAGUACCAAAAAAAAAAAUAGUUCUAGAUUAAAAUCGCCUGUGUGUGAAGCACACACUCAAUUUCAAGGAUUUGACACAGAAGAAAAAGAAAUGUAGAGUAUCUUCAGUUUGAAACUUAUCGGUUACAUUCUGAAAUGAUAUGAAUAUAUUAGAUUGGAUAUAUUAAUUUAAAAUUAAUUCACCUGCUUUCUACUUUUAAAAUGUGGAUCCUGGAAAAUCACAGAUUGCAUUUUAGGCUCAGUUUAUGUUUCUUUUGGGCAGUUUUACUUGAGAAACAACUACAGAUUUUAGGAGCACUUUCUUUUCUGAGCUCCAUCUUCAUUGCUCCUCUGCCCUUAAUAUAUUCCUGCCAUUCCCUCAAUUUUGAUCUUGCUCUCUGCUACUCAGUGAGUCCUCCAUACUCUGGCUGGCUUCCAUUUGCUGCACUACCAUACUGAUUGUGCAUCCAUGCAUUUGUAGGGAACAGAUUCCCUUUUCUCAGAUAUCACUGUGCUGAGCUGCUCAUUCUCUAUGUCUAAAGUUACAGUCUUAAAUAUUUGAUUGGCUCUUGAGUUCAUUGGGAGAACAUGUCUGCUUCCAGUUACUUCACUGUGACUAAUAGCUGAGGCCUGAGUAGUUAGAUGCCGAUCUGCGCUGACCUCGUUUGAAUUCACACCAUUACAGCUAAGCCUAAGUUUUGAUUACAAAUGAAAUUUAUGGUUGAACAAAUGUGUACUUUUUAUUGUGUAUAUAGUUGUGUAUAUUGAUUGUUUCUUAUGUGUCUUUUUGCUCAUUUUUUGCCAAUUUUGUUAUUAAUUUGGAUUAACUUUAGAGAUUUUUGUUUUUAUAUAGAAACCUGUUUUAUUUGGCACUGUUAAUGCUCAGGACAGAGGUAGCCAAUGCAAUUUUGAUAAUUUUCCAAUAUGUAACAAUUCCAGGAGUUUGAAGUACCACUGAUUGAAAUGGUCAUUUUAUUUAACCAUUCUUACUAAUAUGGAAAAUUAGGAGCUGGGUAAUUUGUAACACAGCUUAUCUUUGAAAUGAUAGUGCCUUCCAAAAUUUUAUGUCUUCAGACUAAUCUACCUUUUAAAAGAGCUUUUAAUAGUUUGUUUUUUUGAGAUAGGAAAAACCCAGUUAUGUUUUCCUGCUUUCACUCUCACCGUUCACUGCACAGUGUAUCACCUCCUGUCACCAAAAUGACUGCACAUUUUUGCCCGCACCCCAUGUUCUAUAGUAGAAAGCAGCUAGUUGUUCUCUAAUUCAAUGCUGUCCCGGUAUUAUCUCCUGCAGAUAACAUCGGGUUCCACAGGUUAUGGGCUGUCUCACAGAACUGCUCCCCUUCAGAUGUUAGUUGCAAGCCCCUAGUUAUGAUCUGUACUUCUAACCAACUGGCUGCAUAUCAAGGGUUCCUGCAACUCUCCCUGGUUUUGCUUAAUUUGCUAGACCAACUCAUAGGACUCAGGGAAACACUUUCCUUAGAUUUAUCCAUCUAUUUUACAGGUUGAGUAUUCCUUAUCUGAACUUCUUGGGACCCAGAAAUGUUUCAUUUAAAAAAUUUUUGCUCAUCACAUAAAAUAAGAUGUGGAAUUUUCGAUUUGUGAGGUCAAGUUGUUGCUCAAAAUAUUUCUGAUUUUAGAAAGGAUCUUGUAAAGGAUGUUACCAAGAAUGCGAUGUACGGCCAUCUGGAAGAGAUAGAUAGGGCAAGUUAUGUGGCAAGGAGUGCAGAACCCUCUCUGGAUGGGCCACCUUCCAGGCACCCCCUAGGUUUUCUGAUUCUGUCCUUGGGUUUUUAUGAAGACUUCAUUACUUAGACACGAUUGAUUACAUCUUUGGCCAUUGGUGAUCUACACCACACCUAGCCCCUCUCCCUACCCUAGAGAUUGUGGACUAGGACUGAGAGUCCCAACCUAACCAUGUCUUGGUCUUUUUGGUGACCAGUGCACAUCCUGAAGGUACCUAGGUGUUCCUAAUUACUAGUCAUCUGAUUACCAUAUAAAAGGCAUAUUAUUACUCCAGAGAUUCCAAGGAGUGAAAUUUUGGGAGCUAUGUGUUAGGAACCAGGGACAGAAACCAUAUGUCUGUCUGUCUGUCUGUCUAUAGAUACAGAUAUAUUUCUUAGUUUAUCACACUGUCAUACCUAUCCAUGUGAUUUGUGUGAUAUUGUCUUGUACAAUUUUUAUUUAUGGUAAUUGUCUGUAGAAAUUGAAAAUACAUUUUGAAAGUAUUGAAGUUAUUACUAUUUAUGAAUAUUUUUUGUUCAUAGUAGGUAUUUGUCAUAUCUGUCCUCUAAUAAGUUGAUAUACAGUGUAUCUGAAGCUGCUCGAAUGUAUUGGUUCUCUGAGACUGAGAUUUGCUUUGCUGUCUUUUGAAUCUAUUGCUAUAGUAUGUAUUAAUUUUUUUUGCCUGUUUAAGAUACUCAACAAAAGCCUUAAUGAAAUUGUGGUUAUACAAAGCAGUUAAAAUAAUGCCUGGAUUUUAGUGAUAUGACUUUGGGAAGUUGCUUCUUUAGUAUUUCAGUUUCCUCUUGAGGAUAGUAAUAGGAUAGUAAUGAGGUUGUUUUGGCCUUCUGUCAAUUGUUAUAUGUAAAAGAAUUAUUGUACUGAUUUAUCAUCAGAUAAUACCUAAAUAUUGCUGCUGCUAUUGCAGUUGUUCUUGUAUUAGGUCUUCUCUGGAUACAUUUUCUAUAAUUUUAAUUCUCUCUCUCUGAUAGUAUUUCCUUCCUUCAUUUUUUUUUUCAUUAAGAACUUCUCAUUACCUGAUCAUACAUAUUAUACACCCCCUAUUCACCUUCUAUUAUAGUUCUCCCUAACUAGAAUGUAAGUUCCAUGAAGCUAGAUACUGGGGUAGGGAUUUAUUCCUAGCACCUAGAAAAGUGCCUGGAAUAUAUUGUAUUUUCCACAAACAUAUUAUGAAUGAAGUAUAUAUUGAAGUAUGCCAGACAUUGACUGGAUAUUGAUAAUAUUAAAAAAUGAACAAAAUACAGGUUCAGUUUUUUUUUUCAAAUAGAAUAAUAGUAGGCAGGUACUUAGAAAACUAUAAUAAUUUUGUCUUCUGGAAAUGAUGAUUGUAAAUAUAUCCUAGGAGUGGCCUUACAAAAGUUGUUUUUAAACUGGACAUCUGAUUCAGGUAAGAAACAAAGGGAAAGGUUGUUUGCAGGCAAGGGUAAGUAAAAAAUUAAAAAGUUAUAGAGUUUGACAGUUUGGGCACCAACUUGUUAAUACAGGUUCAUCACAAUGUAAAUAAGUAGAUUAUAGAGGGAGAUAGGGGUGGCACUUAAAGAUGUCUAGAUUGUGUUGCUCUUGAUUAGACAAAGCAGUGACAUUUGGAGGUUCAAUUAUAUGAAAGUUUAUGAUAACUGGAUAGAAUAAUAGAAUAAUUUUAGAAAAUAGAAUAAUUUUAGUUUUGAAUUUUUUAAUGAAAGUGAGUGUGUUGCAUUGUAGAUUAUUAUAAAAGAACUAUAAAAUUUUGAUUUUUAAUGUUGCCUCUUGGGUACUACUGUAUUUGAGAACUAUGUAUAAAACAUAAGUAAUUAUCUUACUUUUCUUGUGGCUGAGACACAAUACCUGACACCCACAAAUUAAAAGAGGAAAAGUUAAUUUCAGUUCACAGUUUGUAGAGAUUUCAGUCCAUCGUUGGCUGGCUCCAAGGAAGGGUGGUAUGGCAGACAGGAAGCAGCAAGCAGCAGCACUAAGGCUGCCUUCUUUCUGUCCCUUUAUAUUCCAUCCAGGCUACCAGCCUACUGAUUGGUGCCACCCUCCCCAGUGUGGGCCUUCCAGUAUCCACACCGUUAAUCCCAGUACACACCUUUAAUCCAUGUCCACACAACCUACUCCAGCCACCUUCAAAACUCCCAUCUACGACCACAUGAGGCUUUGGGGGAACAUCUUGGUACAAGCCAUAACAGUCAUCGAUAACUGUAUUUAUAAAAUUUUCACAUAAAAAUAUGUGGCAUGAUAUAUAAACAUGAAAUUUGCAUUUAAUCAAUUACUUGCCAUGGGAAAUAUUGCCAAACUUUAAUCUCUACUGUGGGACACAAAGCUACGAGAUAUUAAAACAAUUAGUUUUAUUUAGAGGAUCCAUGAAAAAUAGUAUCACUUUGAAUUACAGGACUUCAGAAAUUGACAACGCAACUAAAAUUUGAGGAACUUUUACAUUUUCUGCAUUUCACUACAGUUAAAGUUGAAAUUGGCUUUUUAAAACAAACUCCUUUCACUUUUGCAAAAAGAGGGAUUGUGUGUCUUUUAAAGUUAGAGCUUUUUAAUACUUAAUUUGUUAAUAUAAAAAGAAUAUUUGGCAGUUUGUGUGUUUUUUCCCCUGUAGAGAAGGUGUUCCUUUCCAAAUACAGAAACAAAAUCAUGAUAGCACAAUAAAUAAAACUGCUGAAUCAGAUUCUUAACAUUAGUGUUUCUAUUGAGAAAUUACCCAUUUUCAUCUGAUAAAGCAAAUUUACUUAGGGAUUGGCUGAAUUAACUCAAUCAUGUAAUUCUGCAUUUUUGUAUUAGCAUCAUGGAGUUGAUCUUGGCCAUUUGAGGUUGGGAGAAGGAUAUCUUUUACCAUCUUUCCCUUUUCUACUCAAAUGCUGUGUUAGUAUGUUCAAGCAAAAAUGUAGCAUGACUGGAUUAUUCGUAAUGCACUUAAUGCAUAGGAUAAUAUUCUCCAAUGUCCCUUUAUUGAGUGGAAUUAUUGACUGUGAUUAGUUUUCUAUUCAUUUUUGUCACGUUCAUUGUUUUAAUUUCUUGUUCCCUCUAAAGGGUAGCUAGUGAAAUGUACAAGUGUACACAUUGUAUUGGAAUACAGAUAUAUUUUAUGGUGAUACAGAUCACUUACCCAGUGGUAGUUCUAAAUGAAAAAAUAGUCCAAUGAACAUUUUCAACUAUUUUAAAAUAGUUUAAUUUUUUUAUUGUAACUAGUAAGUUCAAUAGGCUGAACACACUGCACAUGAAUACAAAUAUAUGAUGUAGAGGCUAAGAAAAUGGGACUUAGGAUAUCAGCUGUUUAAUCUUGCAGUGCAAAUAAUGCUACUGAACAUUUGAAUAAUACUUCUAAGAAAUAGAUUCGUGACAUUAGAAACAACCAGCUGGUUAACAUAUUAUUAGUCAAAUUAAGUAAAUAACUUUUACCAAUUUAGUUUUCUACCUUUCAGCAAGUAUCUGUGGUGGUAUCUGCUGGGAAUGGUGUUGUUGAGUGCUAGAAUUUUGUGAUGAUAGGAAAUAUAGAGACAGUAUAGACUUAAGACAAUAACUCACCACAUAUUUUCUAUUUUAAGGAAUUGCAUUUUAUAAAAAAGAACGAUUCUGCAAGGAUCAUAUUUAAGAGUACUUUUUGCUGGUGCUUCAUUUCUAGUGAGACAUUUUCCCUUUUUCUGUGUGGUAGAGUAAAUAAAAUGAGAAUUCUUUUUUAAAAAAUUCAAUCUGUUUUUGUGAGCUUGAGUCGCAGUCAUUUUAGAGUUUAUUUUGAGGACUAAUGUAUAUCAAUUGAGGAAAUUUAUAAAAUCCAGUUGAAAUGCAUAAUAUUGUAGCAGUUUUUCCUGUUUUUGUCUUGACACUGCUGAGAUAAUCCCCCAAAUUUUCAUCUUUCAUAUUCUAUAUUAAUCUUUACUUGAAAAAAGAAAAAUGUACAGUAGAUCAUCCAUAUUUAUUGUGACAAACAGGAAGAAAAGGUUAGAGGACAUGAAUUACAUGAUCUACAGAAAGAUUUUAAAACUAAGUUGAAGUGGACAAAUUAGCCAUAUCCCAGAAGAGGUGGGAAGGAUCAAAGAGAAGAAGAAAUUUUAAGAGGCUCUUUUAAAAAUGUGGACUUUUUAAAAGACUGGAUUUGUUGCCUUAAAUCUUGAGCCAGUAUUUACAUUGAAGUGGAGUAGAUGAUUUUGAUUAAAAGAUUGCAUUGGCCUAGUUUAAUCUUUACAGUGUUCAGUUAAGUUGUGUAGUCUUCAGAAGCAUUCAUGAGUGAAACUUCUUUUGAAGUUCACCUUCUAUUUACAGUGAAAAAUAACUAUUAAUUCUAGAUAUUUUAAAAGUAAUUAUGAAACAUGUGAGUAGGAGAGAAACUCUUCAGUGUGUUAAAAAAUUGACACCAGUACUUUAAAUAUUAGAUAUCAUUGAACCUGAUGAUUAUGUCAGUAAAAAACUUGGGAAAGGUAUCUUAAAAAUAUUUCUGGGGAGGGGCUAGGUGUGGUGGCACGUGCUUAUAAUGUCAGCACUUGAGAUGCUGAGGCAAGAGGAUCAUCAUAAGUUCUAGGCCAGCCUGGGCUACACAGUGAGUUCAGGGGCAGCCUGCACUACAUAAGGAGUCCUUGUUUCAAAAAACAAAACAAACAAAAACUAAAAAAAAUUUUUUGGUCAUUUCAAGAAUAUUUUUGUUCGCUGCCUGCCUUGCAAGCACAAGGGCCCGAGUUGGAUCCCUGGUACCAAAAAAAAAAAAAGAAUAUUUUUGUUAUUUAACAGCAUUUUUUCUUGAAUAAUUAAAUGGUAGAAAUUAUUUCUCAUGACCUUACAAAAUGUGUUAUUUAAAAUUAUAGUCUGAUAGCAAUUUCAUAUGGCUGUUUUUAUUUUCUUAUUAUAACAUAACUGAAGAACAGCCCAUUUAAUUGUAUCUAUUAGUUCAGGAAACAAGGAGAGGAAGGAUUGUUUUUCCAGUUGAAGCAAAGUGUCUAUCCAGCAGUUUAAAACUUGUAUAUAUACAAGUGAGAUAGAAUGAUGAAGUUUAAUUCUUGUGUUGGUCGGUCUUUGUUUGGUAAGUCUCUGGUAUUUUUUCCCCUCAUUAUUUAUAGAUCUCCUGUAUUUUAUUCUGAGUGAUUUGAGUUGUUAAAGUACUGUAUGAAUUUAGCCAUUUUCAUGCCUGUAGCUCAGAACUCUGCAUCUUCUCUGAAUCUCGGUGAUGGAUGGGGUCUUAAUUUCAGCAGUUAUGUUUUGAGUCCUGUUUAAAUUCUAGGGACUCCUCUGUGCCGCUUCUUUCACUAGGCUCUUGGGAUGUAGAGAGUUUUAUUUUUUCAUGGCAGACUUUCUGUGGCUCUGUGGCUUAUUCUUGAAUUAAUAGCUUCUUGCUUAGGAGUUACUUAAGGAAGUAUUUAUAGAUGGGAAAUGUUCUUUCCUUUUAAAGAGAUUCAUAUGUUGGCUGGAGACCUCAGCCUAAGGAUUUCCCUAUAUUCUGUACUAAUCAGAAAUAGAAAUUGGAAGUCUAUCACAGAAAAUGGACAAACUUUUUCAUAUUCUUUGAACUGCUUUGGACAGUUAGAUUUAUAAUUUAUUUUUGAAUUACUUUUUGUAUAUAUAGUACGAGGUAAAAAUUUAGGGUUUAUUUCUUUAAACAUGGACAUCAGAUUGUUUUUGUGUAUCUUUUGAAAAGACUACAGUGUUUCCUCCUGUUGAAUGUUUGGCGCCAUUUGAUCAUGAUGUGUAGGUCUAUUUCUGGACUUUGUUCUGUUCUGUUGCUCUUUAUAUCCUUAGAACAGUGCUGCACUGAUUUGUUAUGUAGUAAGUCUUAAAAUCAGGUAAUAUAAAUCCUCACCUUUGUUCUUUGAUUUUAAAGUUGUUUUCUCUAUUCUAGGUAGCUCCUUUCCAUCUCUAGGUAACUUAGAAUUUGCGUGUCGAUUUCUACAAAAAAGUCGAAUGGGAUUUUCAUUAUGCUUUUUUACCUUAGGGAUCAAUUUGAGGAGAAUUGACUUGUUAAAAGGAUAGCGAAUCUUCCAGUGCAUAAACUUGGUAUCUCUCUCCAUUUAAGUCUUUGCUUUUUCUUAGCAGUGUUUUCAAUGUAAAGGUCUUACACAUAUUUCAUUAAAUUCACCUCUAAUUGUUUUAUAUUUUAUGUUAUUAUAAAUGGGUAAUCUGUAAAAAUAUCAGUUUCCAGGGCCAGGGAUUUAGCUCAGUGGUUCCAGCACCUGCAUUGCAAGCACAAGGUCCUGAGUUCGAUCGCCAGUACCAAAAAAAAAAAAAAAGUCAGUUUCCAGUUGUUGCUAGUAUACAGAAAUACAGUUGAUUCUUAUAUAAAACUUUGUUGUUUGUGACUGUGUUAACCAAUUAUUAGUCUACUGGUCUUUUUGGAGAUUGCUUCAGAUAUUCUGUGUAGGUUAUCUUUAUGAGUAAAGGACAUCUUUAUGUCCUCUUUUUAAAUUUAUGUAUCUUUUAUUUCUUUUGCUUUCUUUAUUGCACUAGCUAAUAGUAGGUCCAGUGGAAUAUUGAAUAGAAGGUGAGAGCUAACGUCCUUCCCCUGCUCCUUAACUUCGGCAGAAAACUUGGGAAUCUUUUAACACUUUCUUUUUGCUGAGCUUUUUCUUUAUUGUGAUUGGCUGCUAGAAUUAAAAUUUUUUUUUCCUGUGACUACUGAGAAUUUUUUGUUUGUUUGUUAAUAUGAUCAGUUACAUUGAAUGCCUUUUGGAAUGUUGAUCCAAUUAAUCAUGUAUAGAAUUUCUGAGAUAACCCCUACUUGGUUCUGGUGUGUUACUUUAUACUGUAUGUUGCUGGAUUUAUUUGCUAAGAUUUUGUUGAUUUUUCUCACUUAUCUUUAUAGAAGGCAUUGGUUUGUAGUUUGCUGUAAUGUUUUUGUAUUAGGGUAAUGCCAGCCUAUACUUGCAAAGUGAGACCCUGUCUUACCCCCUUCCUCCAUAAAAACUCUUACGAGUUUAUGGUGGAGCCUUUCUGAGGCUUUAGUUUAUAUUUCCCAGGUGACUAAUAAGGUUAAGUACUUUCUUUCAUAUUUCCUAAAUAUCUAGAUUUCUUUUUUGAAGUGUCUUUUCAUAGCUCCUGCUCAUUUUUCCACCAUAUUAUUUCUGUCGCAUUGGUUUGUACAGGUACUCUGAAUCUUUUGAUAUAUGUCUUUUGUCCAUUAACAUGUUCACAGUAGGGCCGGAACUUUGUUAAGUCUAACUGCUGGGCAGCUCUGAACCACUGCUGGUACAUGUAUGACUGUCCCUUCAGGCAGAAUGGGCAAAGUCUCAUGGAGUGGUGGUGCUGUCAUGCAUGUACCUCCAGUGGUUCAAGCCGGCAGCAACAUGUUCAAUGUACUGAAAAUACCUUCUAUCUUCUGGUUUGCCUCUGUAUUCUUAGUGACGAUUUUGCCAAAACAAAAUUUCUUUAAAGUUGUCAAAUUUAUCAAUUUUCCUGUAUUGAACAUUGAUUCCUUGUUAAGAAAUAUGGCUAGCUGAGUUUGAUGGCACACAUUAUAAUCCCAGCACUCUGGGAGGCUGAGGCAGGAGGAUCCCAAUUUCGAGCCUAGCCUAAGCACCUCAGCAACUUGAGAUCCUGUCUCAAAAUUUAAAAAGGCCAAGGAGGUUGCUCAGUGCAAAGGCCCUGGAUUCAAUCCCCAGUACCCCCCACUUCCCCACUUAUUUUUGUGUGUGUCCAGAGAUCAUAAGCAUAUUCUCCUGUAUUGGCUUCAAACAGUUUUAUAGUUUUGCCCUUCAUGUUGAAAAAUAUAAAUAAAUCUUUUGCAUAUGGUAUGGAACAUGUGAACUUACUGUGUAGCCCAGGCUGGCCUAAAAUUUACUGCACUUCUUCUGCCUCAGUCUCCUGAGUGUUGGGAUUACAGGCGUGUGCCACCACGCCCGGUGAGAAAAUUACUUUCAUGGGAACUUAGUAAACAUUGCUAGAAUGUGGGUUAUUACAGACACUUUAGGAAACAGUUUGAAAUUUACAUACCCUAUGACCCAGUAAUUUUUUCAUAAGUGUAUUCCUGAGUAAUAGGUAUACUGUAUAUGUAUACCAAGAGACAUGUUAAGUAACAUUAGUAUCAGUGCUAUUUUAGUAAUAGCCUCAAACUCAGUACAGUGUUUUAUCAGUUGAUUGCAUAAAUGAAAUGGCAACAUAUUAAUAUGGUAGAAUAUUUAUAGCUAUACAAAUGGGUGAGCUACAGUAUAGAAACUCCAGAUGAGUACCAAAAAUGUUGUUUCUUUAAAAAAAAAAAAAAGAGGAAGGGGGAAACUAGAAAUGUAAGAAUUUGUGAUAUGCGAUUCAUCGAAGUAAAGUAAAAACAAAAAUCACAAAAAUAUGACAGGUAAAAUAAACUAAUGUUUAGGGAUCUGUGCUUAUUUCAGGAAACAAAAAACCACAACCAACAAAACACAGAGUUAAUAUCAAAGUAAUCAGGAAAAUAAUCACCUAUUGAGUGAGGUGGAGAAGGUAUUUAUUGUGAAGGCCAACCAAGUUACUCGAGUGUUUCUGUUUCUUAGCACUGAAUUAUACAAAGCAGAGUUCGUAAUAAAUCCUUAAGCCAAGGACUUCUGUUUUCUAUAUCUUUAUAUCUGUUAUAACUUAUGAUAAAUGAAUACAUACCACACCCAAUCUGUUAAUAGAUAUUAUAUAUUAAAUAUCAAAUAUACCAAAUAAUCAAAUUUCAAGUUUCAUUGCAUACUCAUUUAUUUAGAAGUUUUCUACUUCUGGGUAAAAUAGGUUACAGAAUCAUGUUUUUCUGAAUAAGUACAGAUAAGAUUAGACCUAGAACAGCAUUUUUUGCAGGUUCGGUUCAAAUGAUAAUUGUUUGAAAGUUUUAAUAUAUUUAAUAUUUGAAUCAGAAUGUAAAUAACUGAUAUAGUUGUUAUAAUAAAAAUUCUUCUUCAUGUAGAAUUUAAAUUCUUUGCAAAACAUUUUUUUCCAGAAAUUGUUAUGAUAUCCUGAAAAGUAUUUGGGAUAGGCAUUAAGUAUCUGCUGUUUAGGAAUGAAGGAGUGUGUAUUGUGAGAGCAUGCUGAUGGCUGUAGAGCACUAGAAUCUUCAUUUGCAUACCUUGCUUUGCUUUGUCUUUUAUUUGUCUUGUGUGUCCCAUGUGCAUACAAGGUAUUGUUCAUUUUACAAAGAUGUUAUUAAUCUGGGAAUGAAAGGCCAUGUAUGGAUGGGCUUUAGUUUUAACGGGCAGUUAACGAAGUCUCUUUCUAAUGACUUUAAUAAUAACAUGUCUGUCUCUAAGGAACUCAAAGUUCCCUGUGGUUAUAUCCUCAAUUCUCAUAAUUUCCUGUAAGAAUUUGAGUUACAUUCUUGCUCCACUUUGUAGAAAUUGAGUUAGUAAGUCACUAAAAAUCACAAGACAGUUUAUUGAUAUAUCUAGAAAUACAGACUAGUUAUUCUGAUAAACAUUUUAAAGUUAUAUCUUAAGUAGUCUGGAUGAUUUAGCACAAUUAUUAAUUUGUACACUUUUUAAAUAAUUACAUGUCUUAAGCACAGUUUUAAAAAGCUUUGAACUCUACAUACAGUUAAAGGACUGACUAUUGACACUACAAAAAGUUACUUCUAGUUUCCUUAUUUAGUUCAGUUUUUCAGUAAUUUUAAGAUGCUUUCAUGGCCAGUGUUUAUGACCAGCAUGUAAUUUGGGGCACUGUAUCUAUUAUCUGUUGUGCAGAACAUAGUGUGUAUUUAUCUGACAGAUUCUACUAGGAAUAGUCCCUUAACAUUUUACCUGUAAACUUCUAGUUUUUCAUCUUUCAAUUUUAAAUAUCUUUAACCUGAAAGCAUAGGAUUGAGGCAUAUAAAAAUAUGUAACCUAUUAUUAAUAAACAAAUCCAAAUUAAAAUAGAAGAAUAUACUUUAAAGUACUUUCUAGAAUUUCAGAUGAUAUCUCUGCUCACCCUGAACCUGUUUUUGUUUGGGUGGAUUGAAUAUUCUACCUAAAACUUAAGGAAUAAAUGGAUUACAGGAAAUAGUAUUUUGGGGUUUUGAUUUGAGGCAAAGGUACCAAUAUUUAUUUGUCUUAACUUUUCUAAGAAUUAGCUAGAUUGAAGGUAUCAUAGCAAGUCAUGGCUAUUCUUUGCAAAAUGAGAAAAAGGAAGUUCUAAUCACUAGUGAAGAAGGUGGCCGUCUGGUAGAGUUGAAGGCUUAUAAAAUGGAGAACAAGGUGAAUUUGAGUCCUUACUUGCUCAUUCUUGGUUCUACACCCAAGUGCAUGGUGCCUCCCUUGUUGUUUAUAAAUGCCUUGAGUCAUAAUGACUUCUGGUCUUUCUUUUAAUAGAUUCGUAGCGUUUGAAAAUUGUUUUGCAGGCCAAAAUAUACAUCAUGAGACCCACUAGAAUCACUUCUAACUAGGAAAGUAGCUUCUUUUCUAGUUAGGAAAAGUUUAUUUUUCUCAAUGCUAUCUAUAUUUUUGUACUUCUAUUGAUCUUAUUUCUUGAAUCAAUGGAAUUUUGGAAUUUUAUAUAAAAUAUAACCUAAUUUGAGUAAUAAGUAUGAAGGUUUGUAGGUCAUAUUCUUCCUUUUUGAAAGUUAUGUACAGCCAAACUACAUUUUCAAAUAGGUAUUUAAAGUACAAUUUGUUUUCUUUAUUUCUUUACUUAGCAGUAGCUGUCAUUGUGUUCAUACUACAUCCAUUGUAUUUUUGAAAUGUGUGAUAAUACACAUUUCAGAAUGUAAUUCAGAAUAAACUGGAAUGCUUUAGUUAUUUUCCAUAAAACAAUAGCUUUGGUAGUCUUAAAUUAAUUUAGAACUUGAAUUUCUGCCUGGAUUUAAUGAUAAACAGUAAUGAAAACAUCCUAUUUUAAAGGGAACAAAGAAAAAUGUCCUUAGGUUAAAAGUAAUUGCAGAAAAAUUCUAUAAGAAUAAAGAACCUCUGGUUGUGUUACAGAUUACAGUAGGAUAAUUGUUUGUUAGACAAAGUAUACAAAAUGAAGUUCUUUUGUACAUUUUAUAUGAAAAUAUAGGGUAUCUUUUUUUGUUUCUGUAUGGAAUGUAGUUGCAUUGUCUUAUACAGAAAUUGGAAUUAAAAUUGUUUGGCAUUGCUUAUUCUGAUUCAAGAUAUUUUACCAAACUGGACAGCCACUAGAGUUUCUUCCUUUUUUAGACCAUUUUCCCCCUUUUUAGUAGUAGAUAGUCCCCAAUUUAUAAUAGUUCGGCUUACAAUUUUUUAUUUUAUAGAUGGUAUGAAAAUCCAUAUAACCAUUUUGUUCAGCACUUUCAAUAAAUUACUUGAAAUAUUCAACACUAUCGUAAAGUAGGUCUGUACAAGGUGAUGUUGUAAGUGUGCUAAGCAUGUUAAAGGUAGAGUAGGGUUGGCUCUACUAUGAAGCUAUGAAGUUCAGUACUUUACAUGUAGUAAGUACAUUUUUGACUUGAAGUAUUUGCAGUUUACUAUGAGUUUGUCAGGAUUUAAUUCUGUUUUAAGUUGAGGAACAUCUGUAUUUAAAGGAUUUUAGUGUAGUCAUACUUAAAUGUAGACAAUUUUUCUUAUUUUUUAUCACUGAAAUUUUUUGAAACAAACUCAUGGAACAAUCAUUGUGAACAUUCCAAAAUUGAAAUUAAAAGAUUCCAUUUAUAAUAACAUGAAAACAAUAGAGUACUUAGGAACACAUUUAACAAAAGAAGUGGGACAUCUGCACACCAGCAACCACAAACUAUUCAAAGAAAUUAAGAGAAGAACUAAACAAAUACAAAGUCAUAUUGUGUUUAUGGGUUGGCAGACUUAAUGUUAACAUUGCGAUACUCUCAAAUUGAUCAACAAAUUCAGCACGAUCAAUAUUAGAAGUCCAGUUGGUCCUUUUUUUCUUUUCUUUUCUUUUUUGCUUGCUUUGCAGAAAGUGACAAGCUGAUCCUGAAGUCCCACCAGUAAUCAAGAUAAUAUGAUACUGGAAGAAAGAUAAACAUACAGAUCAAUGGAAUAGACUUGAUAGUCCAGAAGUAAACUUACACAUUUAUGAUGAAUUGAUUUUUGACAAAGGUGCCAAGAUGAUUCAGUGAGGGAAAAUAGCUGUUUUAACACAGUAAAUGGUACUGAGACACCUAAAUAUCUACAUGUGCAACCUAGAAUACUUUCUGUGGAAGAAGAGAAGCUCAAAUGUGGGUUAGAGAUGGCAGAGAUGAACCUUGUGAUAAUUGAAGGCAUCGGUGUGAUAAUGUAUCUACAUUAUAUCUACAUAUUUCCUAGAAAUUGCUUACAACAACAGCACUGUAGUAGCAUACCUAGCUCCACCCAGAUCUUGGUUUUUAAAUUCCAUUUCUUAGUAAAAAGCAACCAGAUUUACUUGAUUAAAUAGCUGAUUCAAGGGAUGGUUCAGGGAAGUACCAAAUUAGCCUAGAAUAUGUUGUUUGACUAGAAGGUGAAGAAGUGCUCAGAGAAAUGAUAAGCAUGUGUUAAAACCCAUAGAACCUGGUUGGACAGAGGUUUCCUAAAGGAUUCCCUAUUCUGAUUUAAGUACUUACACAUAUGUAGGGUUCUUUGAUCUGGUUUAUAUUCCAACUACAAAAUGGUGUGGUCUUCCUAAGUAAAGUGGCAUCCCUCUUCAAUAUUAAUUUUAUGCAUUCUUCUGAUCAAGGACAUUGUUUUCUCAUAUGCAUUUUUGUAAAUCAAGUGUUUAGACUUGUUGUUACUUGUAGUUACCAUGAUUGUAUACAUACUGUAUAUGUUUGUUACGUGUAUUUACUGGGUAAUCAAGGAAACUAUAAUAAUGUACAUAUAUAAGUACACAUAAUUUUGGUAAAUUACUUUCAUUUUUCUUGCU